rnacentral:rRNA from 1 species
AUACGGAGGAUGCAAGCGUUAUCCGGAUUUAUUGGGUUUAAAGGGUGCGUAGGCGGUUUGCUAAGCGGGAGGUGAAAUGCCGGCGCUCAACGUCGGAAGUGCCUCCCGAACUGGUGGACUGGAAUGACUCUGCCGUGGGAGGAAUGUGUAGUGUAGCGGUGAAAUGCUUAGAGAUUACACAGAACACCUAUUGCGAAGGCAUCUCACGAAGGGUUGAUUGACGCUGAGGCACGAACGCGUGGGGAUCAAACAGGAUUAGAUGCCCGGGUAGUUCACGCAAUAAACGAUGAGGGCUAACCGCUGGUUUAUUCGGAUCAGUGGCCAAGCGCAAGCGAUAAGCCAUCCACCUUGGGAGUACGACCGCAAGGUUGAAACUCAAAUGAAUUGGCGGGG